rnacentral:rRNA from 1 species
UACGUAGGGUGCGAGCGUUAAUCGGAAUUACUGGGCGUAAAGGGUGCGCAGGCGGUCCUGCAAGUCAGGCGUGAAAGUCCUGGGCUCAACCUGGGAACUGCGCUUGAUACGGCAGAGCUAGAGGAUGGAAGAGGGUCGCGGAAUUCCCAGUGUAGAGGUGAAAUUCGUAGAUAUUGGGAAGAACACCGGUGGCGAAGGCGGCGACCUGGUCCAUAACUGACGCUGAGGCACGAAAGCGUGGGGAUCGAACAGG